UGAUUCAAUGUCAUCUUCUGUAGCUAGAACAUCAUCUUGUUGUGCUUCAAUGACAUCUUUUAUAGUUAGAUCAUCAUCUUGUUCUGCUUCUUCUUCUGCUUCACUACUAUCUUCAGUAGCUACAAUGUAAUCUUGUUCUGCUUCAAUGACAUCUUCUGUAGCUACAGCUAUAUCCUGUUCUGCUUCACUGAAAUCUUCUGUAGCUACAG